GACGAGCGGCGGACGGGUGAGUAAUGUCUGGGAAACUGCCUGAUGGAGGGGGAUAACUACUGGAAACGGUAGCUAAUACCGCAUAACGUCGCAAGACCAAAGAGGGGGACCUUCGGGCCUCUUGCCAUCAGAUGUGCCCAGAUGGGAUUAGCUAGUAGGUGGGGUAAUGGCUCACCUAGGCGACGAUCCCUAGCUGGUCUGAGAGGAUGACCAGCCACACUGGAACUGAGACACGGUCCAGACUCCUACGGGAGGCAGCAGUGGGGAAUAUUGCACAAUGGGCGCAAGCCUGAUGCAGCCAUGCCGCGUGUGUGAAGAAGGCCUUCGGGUUGUAAAGCACUUUCAGCGAGGAGGAAGGUGGUGAACUUAAUACGUUCAUCAAUUGACGUUACUCGCAGAAGAAGCACCGGCUAACUCCGUGCCAGCAGCCGCGGUAAUACGGAGGGUGCAAGCGUUAAUCGGAAUUACUGGGCGUAAAGCGCACGCAGGCGGUUUGUUAAGUCAGAUGUGAAAUUCCCCGGGGCUCAACCUGGGAACUGCAUUUGAAACUGGCAAGCUAGAGUCUCGUAGAGGGGGGUAGAAUUCCAGGUGUAGCGGUGAAAUGCGUAGAGAUCUGGAGGAAUACCGGUGGCGAAGGCGGCCCCCUGGACGAAGACUGACGCUCAGGUGCGAAAGCGUGGGGGAGCAAACAGGAUUAGAUACCCUGGUAGUCCACGCUGUAAACGAUGUCGAUUUGGAGGUUGUGCCCUUGAGGCGUGGCUUCCGGAGCUAACGCGUUAAAUCGACCGCCUGGGGAGUACGGCCGCAAGGUUAAAACUCAAAUGAAUUGACGGGGGCCCGCACAAGCGGUGGAGCAUGUGGUUUAAUUCGAUGCAACGCGAAGAACCUUACCUACUCUUGACAUCCAGAGAACUUUCCAGAGAUGGAUUGGUGCCUUCGGGAACUCUGAGACAGGUGCUGCAUGGCUGUCGUCAGCUCGUGUUGUGAAAUGUUGGGUUAAGUCCCGCAACGAGCGCAACCCUUAUCCUUUGUUGCCAGCGGUUCGGCCGGGAACUCAAAGGAGACUGCCAGUGAUAAACUGGAGGAAGGUGGGGAUGACGUCAAGUCAUCAUGGCCCUUACGAGUAGGGCUACACACGUGCUACAAUGGCGUAUACAAAGAGAAGCGACCUCGCGAGAGCAAGCGGACCUCAUAAAGUACGUCGUAGUCCGGAUUGGAGUCUGCAACUCGACUCCAUGAAGUCGGAAUCGCUAGUAAUCGUAGAUCAGAAUGCUACGGUGAAUACGUUCCCGGGCCUUGUACACACCGCCCGUCACACCAUGGGAGUGGG
rnacentral:rRNA from 1 species